rnacentral:rRNA from 1 species
UACGUAGGGUCCAAGCGUUAUCCGGAAUCACUGGGCGUAAAGCGUGUGUAGGCGGCGCGUUAAGUGUAAUGCGAAAUCCUGUGGCCCAACCAUAUGGACUGUAUUGCAUACUGGCGUGCUGGAGGUCGGCAGAGGCAAGUGGAACUCGUAGUGUAGCAGUGAAAUGCGUAGAUAUUACGAAGAACACCAAUGGCGAAGGCAGCUUGCUGGGCCGAAUCUGACGCUGAGACACGAAAGCGUGGGGAGCGAACAGG